rnacentral:rRNA from 1 species
UACGUAGGUGGCAAGCGUUGUCCGGAAUUAUUGGGCGUAAAGCGUGCGUAGGCGGUCCGCGAAGUCUGAUGUGAAAGCCCCGGGCUCAACCUGGGAACUGCAUUGGAAACUAACGGGCUCGAGUGUGGCAGAGGGGGGUGGAAUUCCACGUGUAGCAGUGAAAUGCGUAGAGAUGUGGAGGAACACCGAUGGCGAAGGCAGCCCCCUGGGCUAACACUGACGCUCAGGCACGAAAGCGUGGGGAGCAAACAGG